ACUACGGGGGGCAGCAGUAGGGAAUCUUCCACAAUGGACGAAAGUCUGAUGGAGCAACGCCGCGUGAGUGAAGAAGGGUUUCGGCUCGUAAAGCUCUGUUGGUAGUGAAGAAAGAUAGAGGUAGUAACUGGCCUUUAUUUGACGGUAAUUACUUAGAAAGUCACGGCUAACUACGUGCCAGCAGCCGCGGUAAUACGUAGGUGGCAAGCGUUGUCCGGAUUUAUUGGGCGUAAAGCGAGUGCAGGCGGUUCAAUAAGUCUGAUGUUGAAGCCUUUGGCCCAACCGGGGCAUUUCAUCAGGA
rnacentral:rRNA from 1 species